GUGAAUCAUCAAAUUUUUGAACGCAAAUUGCACUCUCUGGUAUUCCGGAGAGUAUGCCUGUUUGAGGGACAGUUUAAAUAAAAAUCGGUGUGGUUGCUGCCUUUCGUGGUGACGCACCGGAUUUGGGUCGUCUUGCCUUCGGUUAAGUGACCUAAAAUUUUGCAUGAUUUUCGGAUGUUAUUAAAUGAAUUUUAGGACGUUUGCCGUUACCGAU
rnacentral:misc_RNA from 1 species